UACGGGGGGGGCUAGCGUUGUUCGGAAUUACUGGGCGUAAAGGGCGCGUAGGCGGCCUACUAAGUCGGACGUGAAAUCCCUCGGCUCAACCGGGGAACUGCGUCCGAUACUGGUGGGCUCGAAUCCGGGAGAGGGAUGUGGAAUUUCAGGUGUAGCGGUGAAAUGCGUAGAUAUCUGGAGGAACACCGGUGGCGAAGGCGGCAUCCUGGACCGGUAUUGACGCUGAUGCGCGAAAGCCAGGGGAGCAAACGGG
rnacentral:rRNA from 1 species